rnacentral:misc_RNA from 1 species
CCUCCUUUCUAAGAGUUGUUGGUGAGUUUUGUUUACAAAAUUUAUCAACUUUUUUACUUAGUAAUUUUACAGCUUACCGUCCUCGUUUCUCUUUCAAUUUGUUUAAAACUAUGAAGCCUAUCGUAUAUAUCGGGCUUGUAGCUCAGUCUGGUUAGAGCGCACCCCUGAUAAGGGUGAGGUCGGUAGUUCGAGUCUACCCAGGCCCACCAAGUUACGGUGGUUUUUUUAGGGGCUUUAGCUCAGCUGGGAGAGCACCUGCUUUGCAAGCAGGGGGUCACCGGUUCGAUCCCGGUAAGCUCCACCAAGUUUUAAGCUUUUCCAUUUACAUCGUGAAGUGACAUCAAUACUAAAAAUAAAAUUUUUUAGAGAAUUCAAUUAAUUAAUAAAGUGCAAAAACAAAAGCAAAAGUUUGUUUUUUGUACAUAGAAUAUCAAGCGUUUAAGAGCAUUUGAUGGAUGCCUUGGCACACAGAGGCGAUGAAGGACGUAGUACGUUGCGAUAAGCUUCGGGGAGUUACGAACAAACUUUGAUCCGAAAAUUCCCGA